rnacentral:rRNA from 1 species
GAUGAACGCUGGCGGCGUGCCUAAUACAUGCAAGUCGAGCGAACAGACGAGGAGCUUGCUCCUCUGACGUUAGCGGCGGACGGGUGAGUAACACGUGGAUAACCUACCUAUAAGACUGGGAUAACUUCGGGAAACCGGAGCUAAUACCGGAUAAUAUAUUGAACCGCAUGGUUCAAUAGUGAAAGACGGUUUUGCUGUCACUUAUAGAUGGAUCCGCGCCGCAUUAGCUAGUUGGUAAGGUAACGGCUUACCAAGGCAACGAUGCGUAGCCGACCUGAGAGGGUGAUCGGCCACACUGGAACUGAGACACGGUCCAGACCCCUACGGGAGGCAGCAGUAGGGAAUCUUCCGCGAUGGGCGAAAGCCUGACGGAGCAACGCCGCGUGAGUGAUGACGGUCUUCGGAUCGUAAAACUCUGUUAUUAGGGAAGAACAAAUGUGUAAGUAACUAUGCACGUCUUGACGGUACCUAAUCAGAAAGCCACGGCUAACUACGUG